GACGAACGCUGGCGGCGUGCUUAACACAUGCAAGUCGAACGGAAAGGCCCUGCUUUUGUGGGGUGCUCGAGUGGCGAACGGGUGAGUAACACGUGAGUAACCUGCCCUUGACUUUGGGAUAACUUCAGGAAACUGGGGCUAAUACCGGCUAGGAGCUCCUGCUGCAUGGUGGGGGUUGGAAAGUUUCGGCGGUUGGGGAUGGACUCGCGGCUUAUCAGCUUGUUGGUGGGGUAGUGGCUUACCAAGGCUUUGACGGGUAGCCGGCCUGAGAGGGUGACCGGCCACAUUGGGACGGAGAUACGGCCCAGACCCCUACGGGAGGCAGCAGUGGGGAAUAUUGCACAAUGGGCGGAAGCCUGAUGCAGCAACGCCGCGUGCGGGAUGACGGCCUUCGGGUUGUAAACCGCUGUCGCCUGUGACGAAGCGUGAGUGACGGUAAUGGGUAAAGAAGCACCGGCUAACUACGUG
rnacentral:rRNA from 1 species